rnacentral:tRNA from 1 species
GGCUCUGUGGCGAAAUGGAUAGCGCAUUGGACUUCUAGGCUGUGAGCUAAGCCAUUCAAAGGUUGUGGGUUCGAGUCCCACCAGAGUUG